GCUGGGUAUGGUGGUGCAGGCCUGUAAUCCCAGCAGCUCGGGAGUCAGAGGCAGGAGGAUCAGGAGUUCAAAGCCAGCCUCAGCAAAAGUGAGGUGCUGGGCAACUCAGUGGGACCCUGUCUCUA
rnacentral:sRNA from 1 species